rnacentral:rRNA from 1 species
UACGUAGGGCGCAAGCGUUAUCCGGAAUUAUUGGGCGUAAAGAGCUCGUAGGCGGUUUGUCGCGUCUGCCGUGAAAGUCCGGGGCUCAACUCCGGAUCUGCGGUGGGUACGGGCAGACUAGAGUGAUGUAGGGGAGACUGGAAUUCCUGGUGUAGCGGUGAAAUGCGCAGAUAUCAGGAGGAACACCGAUGGCGAAGGCAGGUCUCUGGGCAUUAACUGACGCUGAUGCACGAAAGCUAGGGGAGCAAACAGG